UACGGGGGGAGCAAGCGUUGUUCGGAUUUACUGGGCGUAAAGGGCGCGUAGGCGGUCGUGACAAGUCACUUGUGAAAUCUCCGGGCUUAACUCGGAACGGUCAAGUGAUACUGUCGGACUAGAGUACAGAAGGGGCAACUGGAAUUCUCGGUGUAGCGGUGAAAUGCGUAGAUAUCAUCUGGAACGCCUGCGGUGAAAACGGCUCGCUGGGAGCAAUCUGACGCUGAGACACGAAAGCCAGGGGAGCGAACGGG
rnacentral:rRNA from 1 species